CAUGUCAAGCCUAAGAGCAAAUAAAUUACCUGAUUCCAAAGCAAAUUCCGAAGCAAAGAUAUAUCACGAGCCUAUGAACAAACUUAUACGACCUCAAUUUCAAGCCUGCCCGAAUCUAAUAUAUGCCUGUACAGAUUACAAUAACCUUUGCAGCGUUUUUUUAUAUAUGCGCGAUCAAAGAUUUUGUUAUCGAUUUCUGGUGUGAAUUUGGCGGAUCGUCUCCCCUUCCUACGGAUUCCCCCUCCGGUCCAAUGACACCCGGCAAUUCCCCCUCUUUCUCAGAGCAUAAAGCACGUGGAACCUUAUUUCAUCCCAUUAAUAUGGCUGCUAAUUCUUAAGAAUGACGUAUUCCAUUCCAAGGUGCUUGUGAGAAUGAUCCUUUGAACUUCAGUGACCAAGCUACUAGAAAAAUUGGGCGGCCUAAGGUUACCAUCGCCGAGGAUGUUCUGGAAAGGAGAAGGCUAUCCAGGAGGCAAAAUGCUCAGCAAGCUGGCCAACAAGAAGAGGCUUUUAUAGGCAGAAUCCAAUUACUUGUCCGAAUUUGAUCCUGUACCUAUUCCUGGGCCACCUGGUUCGUUUUUGUGGAGUCUGCAGGGUGUCUACCGAUCUUCAAGGGAGAGCUUAUUGAACACUUCCCAAGUUUAAUCUUUAAAAAAGUUUUUUGUUGAUCCAUUUUCUGCUCAAGAUGGAAUUUAAGAGAGACUUUAUAGGUGCUCAUGUUUUCCAAGCAGCAAAUCUAGGAGGCCAACAGUUUAAGCAUCCGCUCGAUUAUUUCUGUGGAAAAAGAACUGAAGGCGUAACCUUUAGUAUUACAGCAGAAGACCAGGAAGAGCUGAAAGAACAAGAAAUACAGAAAUCAGAGCGGAUGCUGAAGUAUUAUAAAGAAGAGGCUUUUAUAGGCAGAAUCCAAUUACUUGUCCGAAUUUGAUCCUGUACCUAUUCCUGGGCCACCUGGUUCGUUUUUGUGGAGUCUGCAGGGUGUCUACCGAUCUUCAAGGGAGAGCUUAUUGAACACUUCCCAAGUUUAAUCUUUAAAAAAGUUUUUUGUUGAUCCAUUUUCUGCUCAAGAUGGAAUUUAAGAGAGACUUUAUAGGUGCUCAUGUUUUCCAAGCAGCAAAUCUAGGAGGCCAACAGUUUAAGGAGGAUAUUUGUCUUGAUCACUGAAAGUAUAAACAAUAUUAAGAGCUUCAACUUCCCUUUUAUACUUCAGCAUCCGCUCGAUUAUUUCUGUGGAAAAAGAACUGAAGGCGUAACCUUUAGUAUUACAGCAGAAGACCAGGAAGAGCUGAAAGAACAAGAAAUACAGAAAUCAGAGCGGAUGCUGAAGUAUUAUAAAGGUUCAACAACAUCUAAUGUCUUGAAUGUGUCUUCUUCCGGAAUAGGACACGCCAGCAGUCAAUUUAAUGCAACAGAUGGAGGUGAAGCUAGCACUGCAGGUAACUUGUAAUAUCCUUCGCAUUCAUUUGCAUUUACGAAACAGGGAACUGUGUUUGCGUUAUUGUACAUGGGUGGAAUUUGGGGAGCAGAAGAACACGAUAUUUUUUUUUUAUACAUCAGGCACCUUCUAAAGUUUCCUCACGAAAUAAGAGUUUCGGUUUCUAAGCUGAAUUUGUUAGGUUUUAUAAAUGAGGAGGGUAGGUCCAACUGAACCUCACACCCUUACUUUGUUAUAGUAUGAAAAUUUCUCCAGGUACACUGGGGCAUGAUAUUUUUCUAAAGUUGAUAUCAGGUUUGGAGAUGUCAUCUAAACUAAAAAAUAAAAAAUUACCCCGCUCCCACCAUUUGAUAGUGCAAGUUUAAAAGCCCCGGGUUUUAAUUGGAGUAAGUUUCUAUGCCUUUAACUCGGAAAAAUUUCUAGGUCCUACUCUUUUCUUCGUCAACACUUGCUGGGUUUUUUCAUUCGCUAAUCAGGAGAGUUUGCCACAAAAAUAGGCUUAAAAAGUACAUAAAAAUCCCCCCAGAUUGUUUUUAUUGUAACAUGAAAUGGAAUAGUGGAUCAUUCGGCUUAUGUAUGUGAGAUCCUCUUCAUACUACAAGCCCACCAUACACCACUCGUGAAUCAAGCAAAUAAUCUGAUGUAAAAAUUUAGUAAUAUUUACUGAUGAAAGGCUUUUGAAAACUACAAAUUUGAUCGGAGUGAAGGACUUGCAUUAUAUUUAAAUAUUUAAUUGAUUUUAUUCUUGUUUCAUUUCAUGUUAUGAAAUUGCUCCUAUUCACAUUCAUAUGAGCUCUAUUUGAGAAAUGGUUAAAAAAAAUUCGCCUAAAAUAAGCUAUAAUUUAUUGAAGAAAAAUAGUCACUUUUUUAAAUAAUGAUAGAAAAAAAUAUCAGCCAUUCAAAAUGGCUUUUAAACAUGUUAAAGAUUUUUCUCCUCCUGUUUAUUUAGUUCAUUUACUCUGACCCAUUAUGGUCAGUCAGCCAUGAUCUCAGUUUUUUUUCAGAUUCCCCCCUUCCCCCUUUUUCUUCUUCCUACUUGCUUUGCACCUCUAUGAUACUUUUUACAGCACUGCUUGAGUUUAGUUACAGUCUUCUUGAUUAUUGUAUACCUGUCGUUUUCAUAUUGAAUGGAUAAAUUUUAUAUGUACAAUCAUGUUUGGCUACUGAUCAUAUUUUGUGUUUUCCUGCUUACUAGCUUGUCCCGAUAACCCUGUGCAAUCAAUAGAUAAUCUUUAUCAUUAUCAAUUAAUCAAUAAAAUAUAUCUUCCAUUUUUUUGGACAUGUUUCACGGAGUGGAAAGACCUUUACAAUGCAAUCGCUGCCACUUAAGGCAUCCAAAGAUAUCCAGGCUGAUGCACAAAAAUUACCGGAACCACGGAUAUCGGUUGUUUGUCGACUUUUUUGAAAUAUAUGGAGGAAAGCUAUUUGAUCUUCUCAAUGGUCAAAACUGAGCCUGUCUCUUUGAGCCUCUACAUAUCACAUUAACUAAGCAUCGGAACCUUGAACAUUAUGUUUGCAAAAAACUUUGUCUAGGGAAUAUGGGAAACAGCAGGUCCGCAUUGUGGGCUUCCAAGAAUUUGAAGUACUAAAUGUCAAUACAGUCAAGGAAUUGCUGCGAGAAGCAAUUCAACAAGAAGUGCUCGGACAACUGGUGCAAAUGAGGAAUCCUCUCAAUCACAUGAUAAAUAUACCAGCUACUGCCAUUUGAUAGUGCAAGUUUACAAAUCACGGGUUUUAAUUGCAGUGAGUUUUUAUGUCUUUGCCUUAGAAAAUUCCCCAGGUCAUGCUGUUUUUCUGGCAAUACCAGCUGAGUUUUUUUUUCCCGCUUGUGAAACACUAUUUAAUGUUUCAUCGUCAUCCUUUUGGCCCUUUUGGCUGAUUCA